rnacentral:rRNA from 1 species
AUUGAACGCUGGCGGCAGGCCUAACACAUGCAAGUCGAGCGGAGCGGCGGACGGGUGAGUAAUGCCUAGGAAUCUGCCUGGUAGUGAGGGAUAACGUACGGAAACGGGCGCUAAUACCACAUACUUUCAGAUGAGCCUAGGGCGGAUUAGCUAGUUGGUGGGGUAAAGGCCUACCAAGGCGACGAUCCGUAACUGGUCUGAGAGGAUGAUCAGUCACACUGGAACUGAGACACGGCCCAGACUCCUACGGGAGGCAGCAGUGGGGAAUAUUGGACAAUGGGCGAAAGCCUGAUCCAGCCAUGCCGCGUGUGUGAAGAAGGUUUUCGGAUUGUAAAGCACUUUUAGUUGGGAGGCGUUACCAACAGAAUAAGCACCGGCUAACUUCGUGCCAGCAGCCGCGGUAAUAC